rnacentral:other from 1 species
AAAGCCCUGCUGUGUACGUGAUGUUUUUCUAACGUUUUGAGCCAACACCAGUCCGAAGGGUUGCGACAGUUUGUCGGAUGACACGAUAGCCCCUGGUUCGCCAGGAUUGGCAAGGUGAAAAUCGGCAAUGAGCCACCCACCUGCGCAAGCAGGUUCAAAACCCGAUAACACACGGCACGGCGGGGAACCU